ACCCAGCUGACGAGUCCUAAACAGGACGAAACUCACUUCUUGAAU
rfam:Schistosoma mattheei strain Denwood, Zambia genome assembly, scaffold: SMTD_scaffold0003771